GUCAGCUCCUCCCACUUUUGCAACAGCGGGUAGAGUACCCAGAAGACUUGCAAAGGACUGACCUCGAAAGCUCAGCAGGGCCGGGCCUGGUUAGUACUUGGAUGGGAGACCGCCUGGGAAUACUGGGUGCUGUAGGCC
rnacentral:rRNA from 1 species